rnacentral:rRNA from 1 species
AUUCCAGCUCCAAUAGCGUAUAUUAAUGUUGUUGCAGUUAAAAAGCUCGUAGUUGGAUUUCUGGUGGGAGCGGCCGGUCCGCCGUAAGGUGUGUACUUGGUUGUCUCCUGUCAUCCUUGUGGGAACUGCUCUGGCAUUAAGUUGUCGGGGUUAGGGAACACAUCGUUUACUGUGAAAAAAUUAGAGUGUUUAAAGCAGGCUUAUGCCGUUGAAUACAUUAGCAUGGAAUAAUAAGAUAGGACUUUGGUGGUCUAUUUUGUUGGUUUGCACACCAAGGUAAUGAUUAAUAGGGAUAGUUGGGGGUAUCCGUAUUUCGUAGUCAGAGGUGAAAUUCUUGGAUUUACGAAAGACGAACUACUGCGAAAGCAUUUACCAAGGAUGUUUUCAUCG